AUGGAUGCGGGGCGGUGGGCGGAGAGGCCAAUGGCGCGGCGGGAGGGGGCGUGUCCCGGGUGCCCCUGGCGCCGGCGCUGGGAAUCCCCGUGCGGUCAGUGGCGUUUCCGCUCGGGCAGCGGGCUGAGUGAGCUGCCGCCGCCGCCGCCGCCGCCGCCGGGGGAGGGGCGGCCGCCGCCCGCCUGCGCUGAGAGACUCACGCAGCCCCAGUCCCGCCAGUCCGCCAACACUGUAGUGCCGGCCCCCCCUCCUUCCCUGGCCCUUCCCCCUCCCCGCCUUUGGCUCGCUCCGCCUUUCUGCCCCCCACCCCCACUUCACGGGCACGGGCCAUUCCCGGCCAGGAAACGCCGUGGCGCCGCGUUGGGCCUAACUCGAGUCCUGCUGCCUCCCGGGAGUGCUGUGCGCCGCAGCCCGGGCCCAGGCCCCGGCAGCGCCUGGGACAAGAUCUUGUUCAUCAGGAUUGCAUCAUUUCUGGGAGAAUGGCCAAGGUCCACAGCCUCAGUACAAAGACUGUCUGAAGCAUAUGAGGCCUGUUCUCUUUCUAAAGCGGCACUCCUCUUCCUGCCAGUCCUCUUCACAGGAUUACUGAAGCAGACUUGUUCUGAAUUUCUUUCAUUGGAUUGGCUGUUUAUUGGACUCUUGUCUCCCAGCUGCUUCCGGCUCACCUGGCUGAUGCAAUUUCUUUUUCUGAAAUCUCUGUUGGAAUUGUUCUGAAAACACUUUUUGUGUGUCUGUUCUGAGAGUGACCAGAUAGAUCACACGGGUCUUGUGCUUUCAGCAAGUCAUAUAGAGAAGAGACUGUCAGAAUGACACAGAGACUAUUGACCAUUUCUGAACCCAGUUAAAAAGAUGGGUAAUUAUAAAACAUUUCUGGCAUCUUCUAAUUAACAGUAUUUUCUCCAGAAACUGUGUAUGUAUGUAAAUGGUGACUUCUCAGAAAAGUACUUAGUACUGGGAGAGUGGUUGGUUCUGCUUCUGAAUCCAAGAACUUACUACUGUUCCUGUGGAUUCUGAUGACUUGUUCUGGAAAUAGUCAAAUUGAUAUGAAAUUGAAAUUCUGGUGCAUUCAUUUUCCCCCUACUGUAUAUUCAUAUAUUUAGUUCCCUUUUUCCUCCUGUCGUUUCUUAUCCUUUCUUUGUUUUUGCUAAAGGAGUCCACUUCUUUAUUUUUUCUUUCUUUUACUAUUACCUUCAUACCUUUUAUGUGUGCUCUUUUAAAAUUGUUUUUAAAGAAUAGUUAAUUUUCCAAUUUUUGUAAAUAAAAUAUUGAUAUAAAAGUAUAUUUCCUGUCUU
rnacentral:lncRNA from 1 species